rnacentral:rRNA from 1 species
GCUAGUAAUCGUAGGUCAGCAUACUACGGUGAAUACGUUCCCGGGCCUUGUACACACCGCCCGUCAAACCAUGAGAGUUGGCAACACCCGAAGUCGGUAGUCUAACCGCAAGGAGGACGCCGCCGAAGGUGGGGUUNAUGAUUAGGGUUAAGUCGUAACAAGGUAGC